GGUCCCUAAAUGAGCUGAUUCUCAUCAAAGCCGAGAAGCAUAGUCAGGUGUGGUGGCUCACGCCUGUAAUCCCAGCACAUUCAGAGGCCAAGGUGGACGAGCCACUUGAGGCCAGGAGUUCGAGGCCAGCCUGGCCAACAUGGAGAAACCUUGUCUCUAAAAAAUAAAAGAAUAAAGAAGCAGCAGAACUUUGUAGAGUCCCUCCAGGAAGCAGUGCCACGAGGCCUUGGGGCUGCUUACUACAACUGAAGGAAGUGUAAGCGACCGCCUCUCUGAGACAGCCAGAGAGGAAGUCUCAUUAGGUUGCCCAGACUGAUCUUGAAUCCCUGGACUCCAGCAAUCCACCUGCCUCGGCCUCCCAAAGUGCUUGGAUUAUGCGUGUGAGCCGUUGCACCUGCCACAUACCUGAAUUCUUUAUUGAGUGGAAAAUAUGGCUGACCACAACGCCCAGAUUUUAUAGACAGUAGUUCCACUGCCUUUGGGAAUCCAGUUCUUGUUCCCAAUUUCAGGUAUUAAUAUCCUAGGGAAUUCUCUGAUGUGCUUUUGGGUUUACCGGCCUCCCAUGGACCAUUCAUGUGUAGGAGGCAUGAAGGCCAGGGCACGUGAAAGCAUGCCUGCCGCCCUGGACACUGUUCAGCAGGUCCCAGAAGGAGCCUAUGUUUACAGAGUAAGAGGAGAGGCUGACCAGCAAACAGAAGGGUCUGAUUCAUCCCCAAAUCACGAGACGAGCAAGGUAACAGCUGGCCAUUUUGGACAGGUGAAAGUGAAGCCCAGAUUCAAUUCUAAAAAUAAGAAGUGGAGAUAGAGGUGACAAACUUUUCUGUGUGAAAAUGUAUUUUCUCAUCCAAGAAAUAUUUAUCAAGUACCUGC
rnacentral:lncRNA from 1 species